rnacentral:rRNA from 1 species
AUUGAACGCUGGCGGCGUGCCUAAUACAUGCAUCGACGUCUUAGUGGCGGACGGGUGAGUAACCCGUGGGAACCUACCCAUCAGCGGGGGAUAACUACGCGAAAGCGUAGCUAAUACCGCAUACUAUUGGAGCGGCAGAUAUGGGAGUAGCUAGUUGGUGGGGUAACGGCUCACCACGGCGACGAUCCGUAGCUGGUUUGAGAGGACGACCAGCAACACUGGGACGGAGACACGGCCCAGACUCCUACGGGAGACAGCAGUGGGGAAUAUUGCACAAUGGGCGCAAGCCUGAUGCAGCCAUGCCGCGUGUGUGAAGAAGGCCUUCGGGUUGUAAAGCACUUUCAGCGGGGAGGCGUUACCCGCAGAAGAAGCACCGGCUAACUCCGUGCCAGCAGCCGCGGUAAUUC